UCUUAAUCCCGCAAGGGAAUGUAGUCGGUUCACCUAUUGCACUGGUCUAAGUCAGAUGGAAUGCUGCGCGAUUCAGAGUAAAAGCCUCGUAUGACCAACCGCAAGCUUACGAUGGACCGGGGAGAGUCGGAUACUUUGAGAGUAGUGUCUUAAGGGGGUGGUAUGUCCCAUCCAAGGCUAAAUAACGUGAGGAGACCGAUAGAUUACAAGUAGUGUGAACGAAAGAUGAAAAGAACUCUAAAACAGAGGGUGAAAAGUUCCUGAACUUGCUUAGGGUUAAGGCUAUUUAUAGUACCCGUCUUGAAACACGGAUUAGGGAGUUUAUCUGUAGUGCGAGUCUUUGCACGUUAACUGUAAAGGCGUAGAGAAAGCAACUGGCGUUUGCAUGGCUACUGAGCAUUACUGAUAGGACCCGAAAGGUGGUGAACUUUGCCUGCACAGGUUGAAGUCAGGGGAAACUCUGAUGGAGGACCGUACGGGUUAUUGAUGUGCAAAUCAUUUUUCUGAUGUAGGUAAAGGUGCGAAAGACUCAUCGAACCACCUAAUAGCUGGUUUCCUCCGAAGUUUCCCUCAGGAUAGCUGUAAUGCAUUUAGUUAAGGGGAGUAGAGAUAUGGGUAGAGGUGCAGGGAGCCUUCGGGUUCUCAACUUAUUUCCAAACUUCGAACCUCCUUGUUAGGCAUUUACCUAACUGGAAAUGCUUAAAUGAAUUAGCGUUACAAGUGGGCUCUGACCGGUAAGCGGUCAUGGCGAAAUGGGAUGAACCAUACGUCUGAAUAAGGUGCCGAAAUGUACUAUCACUGAUACCAUAAAGGGAGUCCAU
rnacentral:ncRNA from 1 species